rnacentral:rRNA from 1 species
CAACUCACCUGCCGAAUGAAUUAGCCCUGAAAAUGGAUGGCGCUCAAGCGUAGUACCCAUACCUCACCGUCAGCGUUUAUGUGACGCGCUGACGAGUAGGCAGGCGUGGAGGUCAGUGAAGAAGCCUUGGCAGUGAUGCUGGGUGAAACGGCCUCUAGUGCAGAUCUUGGUGGAAGUAGCAAAUAUUCAAGUGAGAACCUUGAAGACUGAAGUGGAGAAAGGUUCCAUGGUAACAGCAGUUGGACAUGGGUUAGUCGAUCCUAAGAGAUAGGGAAGCUCCGUUUUAAAGUGCAUGAUUAUCCAUGCCACCCAUCGAAAGGGAAUCCGGUUAAGAUUCCGGAACCAGGACAUGGAUCUUUGACGGUAACGUAAAUGAAGUUGGUGACGCUGGUAAGGGCCCUGGGAAGAGUUAUCUUUUCUCCUUGACCGUCUAUAACCUUGAAAUCGGAUUAUCCGGAGAUAAGGUUCAAUGACGGGCAAAGUGCAGCACUUCUGUUGCAUCCGGUGCGUCCUUAACAGUCCUUGAAAAACCGACGGAACGUAUUACUCUCAUGCCUGGUCGUACUCAUAACCGCAGCAGGUCUCCAAGGUGAAAAGCCUCUAGUUGAUAGAACAAUGUAGAUAAGGGAAGCC